CAAAUCACAGAAUCUGGCUUUAGUUUGAAGAUUUUUCAAAUCUAGGUAUUAUUUUUUUCCUUUGCAGCUCUCAGUUCUAAAAGCUUUUUGGCCACCCUCUCAGCCACACCAUUAGUGAAAUCAGAGAAGAGUUUCACGGAGUCUUACAAGGCCUGUAGGGAAAAACAGGUUGGCGAACUGCACAAAUCACCAAGACAGUCCAACAGUUCACAAGUAUCAAAAAGCCAACACACUUCAUCUGCCUGUAAGGGACUUAAUGAGCAAGGCAGAGAAUAAGCAGCUUGCAGAUGCAGCUGGUAUGACAGGAGGAAAAAACAGACAGGUAGCUCAAAUGCUUGUGGAAAGAACUAAGUACCAGCAACACAAGUAUGUGGAACCUCUGCAUCACCUAUUCCAACAGUCAGUCUUCAUUUUCCACUAUUUUUUGUCCACAUUUUUCACACUGUAAGAGCUCUUGUUUACAUGUAAAUGGGGUAAAACUUCCAAGGAUGACAACAGUGUUGAACAAAGCUCCAAAUUUUGUGCAGCCUUCCUGUUAGACACUUCUUGUCAAUUACUUUGUUAAUGAGUUAUCUAAUAAUCCAUGCCCUGUGAGACCUCAGCUACAACAAAACCAGCAAUUUCAGAAGCUUUAAAAAAGGAAGAUACCAAAUACCACUUCUGUUGAUUUCAGAAAGUUUAUUGCACCAAAUGCCGCAAAGAAAUUGACCAAAAUGAUAGCGUACAUAAACAACUAUAAGAAAAAACCAUGUAGUUUGACAUUGGUAUUCAGUCAUUCCUAAAAAAGCCUAUGUUCUCCAAACAUGCAAUAGCAACACACAUUUUUCUACUAUGAAAAAACUUGCCAUGAAUGUCAAAUUACCUCAUUUGACCUCAACACCCCCCUCCCCCUCCCCCAAAAAAAUUAAAAAAAAAAAAAAAAGAAAAAAUAAAGGAAAAUGUCUAGACUAUAUUCAGUAGUUCAGACCUGAUUUUUAUUUGGGUCCUUUUAACUGAAAUAGAAGUUAUACUUGAAGGGUAAGUGAUCAUUUCAUGUAAACCUUAUAUACAGGAGUUUGAUGCAUCUGAAAAGAGGUUUUGAAUUUACAAGUAAAGAUGCUUAUAAUACAAAGUGGGGAAAAAUCCAUCUAUAAUUCUGGAGGAUGACAUCAGAAAUGUGAAUUACAGGAUCAGUGUCUGUUAGUUUUUUGGGGGCAAAAGCAAGUUCUAUAAAUUAGUUCAGAGCGUACCAACUUAAAUGAAAAUGCUUAAAUCUUGGUAUUGUUUGGGAUUAAAGAAGUAAUUUCAAUUAGAUUUUAUAAUUUAGCAAUUCAUUCCUCCCCUACGUUUAGUCUUGCCUGAAAAUAGCAUACAUUCUUUAAAUUUCAGUGUGUAAACUGCAUUUAUGUGGGAUUUUGGACAGACUGUGCACUCCCACCUAACCAAGAAAGUAUGUAUUUAAGUUUACAAAAAACCUACAUAAUACUGAUAAAAACAACUUUGGAAUAUUUGAAAAUUAAGCUACAUUAUCAAUUUUCAACACAGCUGUACAUUCAUAUCACUUUUCAUCCUAUUAAAAUAAAACAAGAAACAUGCCCUAAAAAUGUCUAAAAAAUACAUCUGUAAAUACUUACUGCCCUGUCAUGCCACACCAAUUUACAUAAACAUCAAGAUGCUACUGAAAACAAGUUAAAGACUUAGAGUCAAAAGAAAAAAAAAA